GGAGAGAUGGCCGAGUGGUCGAAGGCGCUCGCCUGCUAAGCGAGUAGGGGGUUAUUAGCCUCCUCGAGGGUUCAAAUCCCUCUCUCUCCG
rnacentral:tRNA from 1 species